UAAACUCAAUUAAGUAUUUACUUUUGCCAAAAGAAAAUGUUUGCAAGCAAAAUUUGCUGAAAUCACAAAUUAUGCUGAUCGGAGUACUUCAGUCGCCGGCGGGAAAACGUACCAAUGCCCCCACCAUAUUGACCGCCAGAGCCCGGAGGAACUGAAGCUCAAAGGCUGAUGAACAAACAUUGCAAUCAUGGAACGCGAAGUUAUCAGCAGACAGGCAGAUCUACUGGUGGAGUUUCCAAUGAUUCCAAUUGGCUGACUCCGUUUUCAACGAGGAACGCCAUGGCCAAACCCCAGGUGGCACAGCUGGGAAAUCAGUUGAGAAAACACCAGGAAUGCCAUUGUGAUGUGCUUGUAGCAGGGAAAAAUUGGAUGGUAG